CCCAGCAACGCCGCGUGAGGGAAGAAGGCUUUCGGGUUGUAAACCUCUGUCCUUGGUGACGAAAAAAAUGACGGUAGCCAAGGAGGAAGCCCCGGCUAACUACGUGCCAGCAGCCGCGGUAAUACGGGA
rnacentral:rRNA from 1 species